AAGCCAGACUCCUACGGGAGGCAGCAGUGGGGGAUAUUGCACAAUGGGGGGAACCCUGAUGCAGCGACGCCGCGUGGGUGAAGGAGCGUUUCGGCGCGUAAAGCCCUAUCGGCAGGGAAGAAGGAGGACGGUACCUGACUAAGAAGCCCCGGCUAACUACGUGCCAGCAGCCGCGGUAAUACGUAGGGGGCAAGCGUUAUCCGGAUUUACUGGGUGUAAAGGGGGCGCAGACGGCAGCGCAAGCCAGGAGUGAAAGCCCGGGGCCCAACCCCGGGACUGCUCUUGGAACUGCGCGGCUGGAGUGCAGGAGGGGCAGGCGGAAUUCCUGGUGUAGCGGUGAAAUGCGUAGAUAUCAGGAGGAACACCGGUGGCGAAGGCGGCCUGCUGGACUGCGACUGACGUUGAGGCCCGAAAGCGUGGGGAGCAAACAGGAUUAGAUACCCCCGUAA
rnacentral:rRNA from 1 species